rnacentral:tRNA from 1 species
GGUAGUGUAUCUCAGUGGUAGAAUUUUUGCCUAACAUACAAGAACCUGGGAUCCAUCCCCAGCACUGCCA